rnacentral:rRNA from 1 species
GGGGAAUAUUGCACAAUGGGGGAAACCCUGAUGCAGCGACGCCGCGUGGAGGAAGAAGGUCUUCGGAUUGUAAACUCCUGUUGUUGAGGAAGAUAAUGACGGUACUCAACAAGGAAGUGACGGCUAACUACGUGCCAGCAGCCGCGGUAAAACGUAGGUCACAAGCGUUGUCCGGAAUUACUGGGUGUAAAGGGAGCGCAGGCGGGCGAUCAAGUUGGAAGUGAAAUCCAUGGGCUCAACCCAUGAACUGCUUUCAAAACUGGUCGUCUUGAGUAGUGCAGAGGUAGGCGGAAUUCCCGGUGUAGCGGUGGAAUGCGUAGAUAUCGGGAGGAACACCAGUGGCGAAGGCGGCCUACUGGGCACCAACUGACGCUGAGGCUCGAAAGUGUGGGUAGCAAACAGGAUUAGAUACCCUGGUAGUCCACACCGUAAACGAUGAUUACUAGGUGUUGGGAGAUUGACCCUCUCAGUGCCGCAGUUAACACAAUAAGUAAUCCACCUGGGGAGUACGACCGCAAGGUUGAAACUCAAAGGAAUUGACGGGGGCCCGCACAAGCAGUGGAGUAUGUGGUUUAAUUCGACGCAACGCGAAGAACCUUACCAAGUCUUGACAUCCCUUGACGAUGCUGGAAACAGUAUUUCUCUUCGGAGCAAGGAGACAGGUGGUGCAUGGUUGUCGUCAGCUCGUGUCGUGAGAUGUUGGGUUAAGUCCCGCAACGAGCGCAACCCUUAUGGUCAGUUACUACGCAAGAGGACUCUGGCCAGACUGCCGUUGACAAAACGGAGGAAGGUGGGGAUGACGUCAAAUCAUCAUGCCCUUUAUGACUUGGGCUACACACGUACUACAAUGGCGUUAAACAAAGAGAAGCAAGACCGCGAGGUGGAGCAAAACUCAGAAACAACGUCCCAGUUCGGACUGCAGGCUGCAACUCGCCUGCACGAAGUCGGAAUUGCUAGUAAUCGCAGAUCAGCAUGCUGCGGUGAAUACGUUCCCG